rnacentral:lncRNA from 1 species
GAAAGACCCUGAGCAGAGAAGCCAGAAAGACCUACCCAGACUCCUGACUGACUCUGUGAGGAAACAAACGGGAACACUUAUGCUGCUAAGCUUAUGAACAUUUGAUAUGAAGCAAAAGAAAAGCAAUACAGGCAGGCAAGAUUACAGCUGUCCUUUACAGUCACGAGGCCAGGCCUGAGCAGUUGCUGACAGAUAGCCUUCAGAUUUGGGAGGACAUCUGUGAGAACUCUAUCCAAGACGCUUUUCUAUGCCUCUGCCAUGCACUAGCAACCAUAUGGAUGGUCCCAGGGAAGCCCACUGCGUUGUGGUCACACUCUCUGGUGGAUUGCCAAGGGGAAAGGCUAGAAGCAGCAGUCACCUUCACCUCACUUGAGGUGUCAGGGUGGUUGCCCUUCGUUGACCGCGGUUCUCUAAAAUCUCCAUCUUUCGUUAGGGUAAAAAGUAAAUCUCAGCAUCUGUGGGUGACCGCACAGGACAGAACCCGGUCAUCAUCCUGGGAGUGCGGUGGGGGGACCAACAUGCACACUCUUAAUAUUUCUGAGCAUAAGAGUCACACAGUUCAACUAUCACAACAAUGGGAUGUAGAGGCAGGAGGAUCAGAAUUCAAUGUCAUCCUCAUCUACACAGUGAAUUUGAGGUCAGCCUGUUGAUUAUACGAGACUGUUAAAACCAAACAAAACAAAGAAAA